rnacentral:rRNA from 1 species
GCCCUUGGGUUCCGAUUCCGGAGAGGGAGCCUUAAAAACGGCUACCACAUCUAAGGAAGGCAGCAGGCACGCAAAUUACCCAAUGACCGAAGGUCGAGGUAGUGACAAAAAGUAACGAUACGGGACUCAUCUGAGGCCCCGUAAUCGGAAUGAGUACACUUUAAAACCGUCCCCGAGGAUCUAUUGGAGGGCAAGUCUGGUGCCAGCAGCCGCGGUAAUUCCAGCUCCAAUAGCGUAUAUUAAAGUUGUUGUGGUUAAAAAGCUCGUAGUUGGAUCUCGGCGGUCUGAGGGCGGUUCGCUUGAUUGAGUGCUACAGCUCUAUAGGCCGUGGUUUUGCCAGAGGUCUCGGGGUGCUCUUAACCGAGUGUCCUGCGAUGCUGGCAGGUUUACUUUGAAAAAAUUAGAGUGCUCAAAGCAGGCUUUUACGCCUGAAUAUUCGUGCAUGGAAUAAUAGAAUAGGAAGUCGUUUCUAUUUUGUUGGUUUUUGGAAAUCGACUUAAUGAUUAAUAGGGACAGUCGGGGGCAUUUGUAUUCAAACGACAGAGGUGAAAUUCUUGGACCGUUUGAAGACAAACUACUGCGAAAGCAUUUGCCAAGAAUGUUUUCAUUAAUCAAGAACGAAAGUUAGAGGUUCGAAGGCGAUUAGAUACCGCCCCAGUUCUAACCAUAAACGAUGCCAGCUAGCGAUCUGCCGACGUUUUCUUUGUAGACUCGGCAGGAAGCUUCCGGGAAACCAAAGCAUUUGGGUUCCAGGGGAAGUAUGGUUGCAAAGCUGAAACUUAAAGGAAUUGACGGAAGGGCACCACCAGGAGUGGAGCCUGUGGCUUAAUUUGACUCAACACGGA